CACAAAAGAAACCUUAGCCGCUUUUAAGAUGUUGGCAUCUUUUCCGGCGUCGUGCCUCCGGCUAAUAUACGCGACUCUCCUCCAUCUGCGUUAGUUUAAGAUCCACCGAUAAACGGUUUAUCACUAGAAGUUUGCUGUAUCAACAUUAGGUAGAUAAGAAGUUUUUGGCUAUUGACUGUGGAUGAAGAUUAUACUGGGGAAUUACAUAUUCAAGGACACAUAGAGGGAUGGUCAUAAAUUGGUUGGACACUAAAGUAAAGCCGUUCGACCGUCCAAUAAUAAGUCUAAGUUCAUGCACUAUCUACAGAGUAGUUGUGGUACUUUUUGUGGCUCGCCUACAAAUGCUUCAAGCGUUGAGGUGGAUGCAGAGUGGCUUGCAAGAGUCAUGUAAGGAACAUAUUAUCUAUGAAGAUUAUACUGGGGAUUUCCAUAUUCAAACACACAGUGGCCGAGAUGAUAGGGAACGCUUCAUCAAUGGGCGUUAAGGGGGAUGCUUGGGAGUUCCACAAUGGGCAAAAGUUCUUGUUCCAGUAAAAAAGCUGCCGACAAAUGUUGGAUCGCGUAUUAGAAACUAUGUGUAUGAAGCGUUAAAGCAAAAUCAAAGUUAUUCCAAGAUCGGGGUCACAACAUGCGAGAUUGGCUAUAAUUUUGAUGAGUAAAGAUGACCUCUGAACCGGGUAAGGAGUUUGAGGAGCCUCAAAGUUAUUCCAAGUAGAAUGUUGGACAUGUAAUUUUGAUGUCAAACCCAACACUUGUCCAACAGUUGAUGUGGGAUUAAAAAUUCACAACAAUAUUCUCUUCA